ACGGAGGAUGCGAGCGUUAUCCGGAUUUAUUGGGUUUAAAGGGUGCGUAGGUGGACUGUUUAGUCAGUGGUGAAAUGCUGAUGCUCAACGUUAGCAUUGCCGUUGAAACUGACAGUCUUGAGAGUGAUUGAGGCAGGCGGAAUGUGUGGUGAAGCGGAAAAAAACAUAAAUAUCCCACAGAACCCAAAUGGCGAAGGCAUCGUGCAAAGCCACAACUGACACUGAAGCACGAAAGCGUGGGGAUCAAACAG
rnacentral:rRNA from 1 species